ACGGAAGGCAGCAGUGGGGAAUAUUGGGCAAUGGGCGAAAGCCUGACCCAGCGACGCCGCGUGAGGGAAGAAGGUCUUCGGAUUGUAAGCCUCUUUCAGCAGGGAAGAACAAUGACGGUACCUGCAGAAGAAGUCACGGCUAACUACGUGCCAGCAGCCGCGGUAAUACGUAGGUGGCGAGCGUUAUCCGGAAUUACUGGGUGUAAAGGGUGUGUAGGCGGAGAAGCAAGUCAGGCGUGAAAUUCAGAGGCUCAACCUCUGGACUGCGCUUGAAACUGUUUCCCUUGAGAGUGGGAGAGGUAAACGGAAUUCCUGGUGUAGUAGUGAAAUGCGUAGAUAUCAGGAGGAACACCGGUGGCGAAGGCGGUUUACUGGACCACAACUGACGCUGAGACACGAAAGCGUGGGGAGCAAACAGGAUUAGAUACCCUGGUA
rnacentral:rRNA from 1 species